rnacentral:rRNA from 1 species
CUACCCGGGUAUCUAAUCCUGUUUGCUACCCACGCUUUCGUGCCUCAGCGUCAGAACAGGCCCAGGAGGUUGCCUUCGCCAUCGGUGUUCUUCCAGAUAUCUACGCAUUUCACCGCUACACCUGGAGUUCCGCCUCCCUCUACCGUUCUCGAGUCUGCCAGUAUCGACUGCAAUUCCCAGGUUAAGCCCAGGGCUUUCACAACCGACUUAGCAAACCGCCUACGCACGCUUUACGCCCAGUAAAUCCGAUUAACGCUUGCACCCUCUGUAUUACCGCGGCUGCUGGCAC